UUGUUAUUAAUGAGUCAGAGGAAAAUAUAAAUUAUCAACAGAUAUACAAACCCUUCAUCAUCCUACUUAAAAUACUGGGAUUCAACUACCAUGAAUUAGUGACAUGCAGUGAGGUAGGUGAGGCAGAGCCUUUCCUGUCAUACUAACGUAUACGCCAGAGUUUUCAUUAAACAAAGUAUAUGAAAAAUACAAAGAAUAUAUUAUAAAGAUCUUCUUUAUAUUAUUCUAAUAAUUUUAUAGUCUGGAGUAAAAAGUCUAUGGCAAGUGAGGCACUGCCUACCUUUUCCGCACAUUUCUGAUCAAAACUCAGUAAAUCUCCAGCAAUAUAUACUGCUGCACCUGUGUAUAAUGCCCACAUGAACCCCUUCGCCCAUUUAUUGUGUGUUAUUAAAUCUGGCUGUGGAACUAGCCAAUGUGUAUCCUGAGCCAUUUACCUCACCGCACGUCCCUGGUAUGUAUGUAUGUACGUAUGUAUGUAUGUAUGUAUGUAUGUAUGUUCUUCAUCAUAGACUCCUACAUGGCUUGAUGGUUCUGAACCAAACUUGGUACACAAACCCUUCAUAAUCCAACUUAAAAUUCUAGUUUCAAGUUAAAAAAAUCCACCCAUUGCGUGGCCAGGGCCCAUAUCACAAAAAUACAUAUAGAAAAUGCAUUGGUCGGUUUGUGUGUCUGUGUGGUUAGCUAGUCCUGACCAGUCUGGUGGAGUCUGUGAAGUCAUGCUGUGAUGUCAUAAUGGUAACAACUGCCUACAUCAGGACUUUGUUGCAGCUGCUGCUGCCCUUUCUCAUACUCCUCCAGAGCCCUAGAAACACACAGCUCACAAGCAGGCGAUAUCACCGGAAAAGCUACUCAUAUAAGAUAAAAGUAUUAAAGACGACAGAAGAAGAUAGAAGAAAGCGACAGAAGAAGACAACGACAGAAGAAGACAACGAUGACAGAACAAGAAAGAAGAAGCAGGAAAUAGAGAGACAAAAAAGAAAGAAAAGAAGCAGAAAAAAAAGCACGAAAAAGAAAGAAAAAUUAAAGAAAAAUGAAAGAAGAAAGAAAAAAGAAAGCAGAAAGAUAAAGUUAAGAAGAAAGAAAAUAAUGUUUCUAUGCCUAUGUAUGGUAUUGCAGAACCCUUAUAUUGUCUUAUAGAUAAAAGUAUUAAAGAUGACAGAAGAAGAUAGAGGAAAGCGACAGUAGAAGACAACGACAGAAGAAGACAAUGAUGACAGAACAAGAAAGAAGAAGCAAGAAAAAGAGAGACAAAAAAAGAAAGAAAAAUGAAAGAAAGAAAGAAAGAAAAAUGAAAGAAAGUAUUAAAGACGACAGAAGAUAGAAGAAAGCAUCAGAAGACAACAACAGAAGAAAACAACCGAUGACAGACAGAACAAGAAAGAAGAAGCAAGAUAGAGACAAAAAAAAAGAAGCAGAAAAAAGCAUGAAGAAAAAUAAAGAAGAAUGAAAGAAAGAUUAAUGAAAGAAGCAGAAAGAUAAAGGUAAGAAGAUAGAAAAUAAUGUUUAUAUGCCUAUAUAUGGUAUUGCAGAACCCUUAUGUUGUCUUAUAGAUAAAAGUAUUAAAGACGACAGAAGAAGAUAGAGGAAAGCGACAGCAGAAGACAACGACAGAAGACAACGAUGACAGACAGAACAAGAAAGAAGAAGCAAGAAAAAGAGAGACAAAAAAGAAAGAAAGAAAGAAAGAAAGAAAAGAAAAAAGCAGAAAAAAAUCAUGAAGAAAAAGAAAGAUAAAGACGAAAGAAGAAGAUAGAAGAAGGCAACAGAAGAAGACAACAACAGAAGACAACGAUGACAGACAGAACAAGAAAGAAGAAGCAAGAAAAAGAGACAAAAAAGAAAGAAGCAGAAAAAAAGCAUGAAGAAAAAGAAAGAAAAAUGAAAGAAAGAAAAUGAAAGAAGAAAAAAGAAAGAUGCAGAAAGAUAAAGGUAAGAAGAGAGAAAAUAAUGUUUCUAUGCCUAUGUAUGGUAUUGCAGAACGCUUAUGUUGUUUUAUUUAUAAAAGUAUUAAAGAUGACAGAAGAAGAUAGAAUUAAGUGACAGAAGAAGACAACGACAUAAGAAGACAACGAUGACAGACAGAACAAGAAAGAAGAAGCAAGAAAAAGAGAGACAAAAAAGACAGAAAGAAAAGCAGAAAAAAAGCAUAAAGAAAAAGCAAGAAAAAUGAAAGCAGAAAGAAAAAUGAAAAAAAGAAAAAAAGAAAGAAGCAGAAAGCUAAAGGUAAGAAGAAAGAAAAUAAUGUUUCUAUGGCUAUGUAUGGUAUUGCAGAACCCUUAUGUUGUCUUAUAGAUAAAAGUAUUAAAGGCGACAGAAGAAGAUAGAGGAAAGCGACAGAAGAAGACAACAACAGAAGACAGCGAUGACAGACAGAACAAGAAAGAAGAAGCAAGAAAAAGAGAGACAAAAAAGAAAAAAAGAAAGAAAGAAAGAAAGAAAGAAAGAAAAGAAAAAGCAGAAAAAAAUCAUGAAGAAAAAGAAAGAAAAAUUAAAGAAGAAAAAUGAAAGAAAAAUGAAAGAAGAAAGAAAGAAAAAGAAAGAAGCAGAAAGAUAAAGGUAAGAAGAAAGAAAAUAAUGUUUCUAUGCCUAUGUAUGGUAUUGCAGAACCCUUAUGUUGUCUUAUUGAUAAAAGUAUUAAAGACGAAAGAAGAUAGAAGAAAGCAACAGAAGAAGACAACGACAGAAGACAACGAUGACAGACAGAACAAGAAAGAAGAAGCAAGAAAAAGAGAGACAAAAAAGAAAGAAGCAGAAAAAAGCAUGAAGAAAAAGAAAGAAAAAUGAAAGAAAGAAAAUGAAAGAAGAAAAAAGAAAGAUGCAGAAAGAUAAAGUAUUAAAGAUGACAGAAUAAGAUAGAAUUAAGUGACAGAAGAAGACAACGACAGAAGAAGACAAUGAUGACAGACAGAACAAGAAAGAAGAAGCAAGAAAAAGAGAGACAAAAAAGACAGAAAGAAAAGAAGCAGAAAAAAAGCACAAAGAAAAAGAAAGAAAAAUGAAAGAAGAAAAAUGAAAAAAAGAAAAAUAGAAAGAAGCAGAAAGCUAAAGGUAAGAAGAAAGAAAAUAAUGUUUCUAUGGCUAUGUAUGGUAUUGCAGAACCCUUAUGUUGUUUUAUAGAUAAAAGUAUUAAAGACGACAGAAGAAGAUAGUAGAAAGCGACAGAAGAAGACAACGACAGAAGACAAUGAUGACAGACAGAACAAGAAAGAAGAAGCAAGAAAAAGAGAGACAAAAAAAGAAAAAUUGAAAGAAAGAAAGAAAGAAAGAAAAGAAAGAAGCAGAAAAAAAGUAUAAAGCAAAAGAAAGAAAGAAAGAAAAUGAAAGAAGAAAGAAAAAAGAAAGAAGCAGAAAGAUAAAGUUAAGAAGAAAGAAAAUAAUGUUUCUAUGCCUAUGUAUGGUAUUGCAGAACCCUUAUAUUUUCUUAUAGAUAAAAGUAUUAAAGACGACAGAAGAUAGAGGAGAGCGAGAGAAGACAACGACAGAAGAAGACAACGAUGACAGAACAAGAAAGAAGCAAGAAAGAGAGAGACAAAAAAAGAAAGAAAAAUGAAAGAAAGAAAGAAAAAUAAAAGAAAGUAUUAAAGACGACAGAAGAUAGAAGAAAGCGUUAGAAGACAACGACAGAAGAAAACAACCGAUGACGACAGAACAAGAAAGAAUAAGCAAGAUAAAGAGAGACAAAAAAAGAAAGAAGCAGAAAAAACCUGAAGAAAAAGAAAGAAAAAUGAAAGAAGAAAGAAAGAAAAAAGAAAGAAGCAGAAAGAUAAAGGUAAGAAGAAAGAAAAUAAUGUUUCUAUGCCUAUGUAUGGUAUUGCAGAACCCUUAUGUUGUCUUAUUGUUAAAAGUAUUAAAGACGAAAGAAGAUAGAAGAAAGCAACAGAAGAAGACAACGACAGAAGACAACGAUGACAGACAGAACAAGAAAGAAGAAGCAAGAAAAAGAGAGACAAAAAAGAAAGAAGCAGAAAAAAGCAUGAAGAAAAAGAAAGAAAAAUGAAAGGAAGAAAAUAAAAGAAGAAAGAAGCAGAAAGAUAAAGUAUUAAAGAUGACAGAAGAAGAUAGAUCUAAGUGACAGAAGAAGACAACGACAGAAGAAGACAACGAUGACAGACAGAACAAGAAAGAAGAAGCAAGAAAAAAAGAGACAAAAAAAGACAGAAAGAAAAGAAGCAGAAAAAAAGCAUGAAGAAAAAGACAGAAAAAAGGAAAGAAGAAAAAAAGAAAAAUGAAAGAAAGAAAAAAAGAAAGAAGCAGAAAGCCAAAGGUAAGAAGAAAGAAAAUAAUGUUUCUAUGGCUAUGUAUGGUAUUGCAGAACCCUUAUGUUGUCUUAUAGAUAAAAGUAUUAAAGACGACAGAAGAAGAUAGAAGAAAGCGACAGAAGAAGACAACGACAGAAGACAAUGAUGACAGACAGAAAAAGAAAGAAGAAGCAAGAAAAAGAGAGACAAAAAAAGAAAAAUAGAAAGAAAGAAAGAAAGAAAGAAAGAAAGAAAGAAAGAAAGAAAGAAAGAAAGAAAGAAAGAAAGGAAAGAAGCAGAAAAAAAGCACGAAGCAAAAGAAAGAAAAAUGAAAGAAAGAAAAUGAAAGAAGAAAGAAAGAUAAAGUUAAGAAGAAAGAAAAUAAUGUUUCUAUGCCUAUGUAUGGUAUUGCAGAACCCUUAUAUUGUCUUAUAGAAAAUUGUUUUACAGAAGACUCUUGUGUGGGUGCACUCUUGUAUUGAGUUGU